rnacentral:rRNA from 1 species
CCUACGGGGGGCAGCAGUGGGGAAUAUUGGACAAUGGGGGCAACCCUGAUCCAGCCAUGCCGCGUGUGUGAAGAAGGCCCUCGGGUUGUAAAGCACUUUCAGUGAGGAAGAACGCCUGGUGGUUAAUACCCAUCAGGAAAGACAUCACUCACAGAAGAAGCACCGGCUAACUCCGUGCCAGCAGCCGCGGUAAUACGGAGGGUGCGAGCGUUAAUCGGAAUUACUGGGCGUAAAGCGCGCGUAGGUGGCUUGAUAAGCCGGUUGUGAAAGCCCCGAGCUCAACCUGGGAACGGCAUCCGGAACUGUCAAGCUAGAGUGCAGGAGAGGAAGGUAGAAUUCCCGGUGUAGCGGUGAAAUGCGUAGAGAUCGGGAGGAAUACCAGUGGCGAAGGCGGCCUUCUGGACUGACACUGACACUGAGGUGCGAAAGCGUGGGUAGCAAACAGGAUUAGAUACCCUAGUAGUC